rnacentral:rRNA from 1 species
GAUGAACGCUGGCGGCGUGCCUAAUACAUGCAAGUCGAGCGAACGGACGAGAAGCUUGCUUUUCUGAUGUUAGCGGCGGACGGGUGAGUAACACGUGGAUAACCUACCUAUAAGACUGGGAUAACUUCGGGAAACCGGAGCUAAUACCGGAUAAUAUUUUGAACCGCAUGGUUCAAAAGUGAAAGACGGUCUUGCUGUCACUUAUAGAUGGAUCCGCGCUGCAUUAGCUAGUUGGUAAGGUAACGGCUUACCACGGCAACGAUGCAUAGCCGACCUGAGAGGGUGAUCGGCCACACUAGAACGGAGACACGGUCCAGACUCCUACGGGAGGCAGCAGUAGGGAAUCUGCCGCAAAGGGCGAAAGCCUGACGGAGCAACGCCGCGUGAGUGAUGAAGGUCUUCGGAUCGUAAAACUCUGUUAUUAGGGAAGAACAUAUGUGUAAGUAACUGUGCACAUCUUGACGGUACCUAAUCAGAAAGCCACGGCUAACUACGUG